rnacentral:miRNA from 1 species
UGCUUAAAGAAGGGCUGUCCAACCUGCGGCCCCCCAGAUGUUGCUGAACUACAACUCCCAUGAUUCUUUCAAUGAAACAGCCAAGCAAUCAUGGGAGUUGUAGUUCAGCAGCAUCUGGGGGGGCCGCAGGUUGGACAGCCCUGGCUUAAAGCA